rnacentral:rRNA from 1 species
GACGAACGCUGGCGGCGUGCCUAAUACAUGCCAGUAGAACGCUGAAGCGAGGAGCUUAUUCUUCUUGGGUGAGCGGCGGACGGGUGAGUAACGCGUAGGUAACCUGCCUUUUAUCGGGGGAGAACUAUUGGAAACGAUAGCUAAUACCGCAUAACAAUGGCUAACACAUGUCGUAUAUUUGAAAGGGGCAAUUGCCCCACUACAAGAUGGACCUGCGUUGUAUUAGCUAGUAGGUGAGGUAAAGCCCCACCAAGGCGACGAUACGUAGCCGACCUGAGAGGUUGAUCGGCCACAUUGGAACUGAGCACCGGCCCAAACUCCUACGGGAGGAACCGUUGGGGAAUCUUGGCCAAUGGGGGAAAGCCGGCCCCAGCACGCCCGCGUGGGUGAGGAAGGUUUUCGGUUGGUAAACUCCUUUUGAUGGGAAAGAAGGGUGGGAGGGUAGAAAGUCGACGCUCUGACGGUAGCUUACCAAAAAGGGACGGCUAACUUCGUG